GACAGAGGAUGCAAGCGUUAUCCGGAAUGAUUGGGCGUAAAGCGUCUGUAGGUGGCAUGUUAAGCGAGCAGUGAAAUCUUAUGGCUCAACCAUAAGGCUAUUGCUUGAACUGGCAAGCUAGAGUUUGGUAGAGGUAACUGGAAUUCCAAGUGUAGGAGUGAAAUCCGUAGAUAUUUGGAGGAACACCGAUGGCGUAGGCAGGUUACUGGACCAACACUGACACUAAUGCACGAAAGCGUGGGGAGCAAACGGG
rnacentral:rRNA from 1 species